rnacentral:rRNA from 1 species
UGGGGAAUCUUAGACAAUGGGCGAAAGCCUGAUGCAGCAACGCCGCGUGAGUGAUGAAGGCCUUCGGGUUGUAAAGCACUUUUGUCCGGAAAGAAAUCCUUGGCUCUAAUACAGUCGGGGGAUGACGGUACCGGAAGAAUAAGCACCGGCUAACUACGUGCCAGCAGCCGCGGUAAUACGUAGGGUGCAAGCGUUAAUCGGAAUUACUGGGCGUAAAGCGUGCGCAGGCGGUUUGCUAAGACCGAUGUGAAAUCCCCGGGCUCAACCUGGGAACUGCAUUGGUGACUGGCAGGCUAGAGUAUGGCAGAGGGGGGUAGAAUUCCACGUGUAGCAGUGAAAUGCGUAGAGAUGUGGAGGAAUACCGAUGGCGAAGGCAGCCCCCUGGGCCAAUACUGACGCUCAUGCACGAAAGCGUGGGGAGCAAACAGGAUUAGAUACCCUGGUAGUCCACGCCCUAAACGAUGUCAACUAGUUGUUGGGGAUUCAUUUCCUUAGUAACGUAGCUAACGCGUGAAGUUGACCGCCUGGGGAGUACGGUCGCAAGAUUAAAA